CCCCAGGGGUGGAGAAACAAAGUCAGGGUGAGGGAAGGAGUUUUGUAAUUUCUUGAAAACAAGUUUGAACUAACAAACUGAUUGUGAAUCUAUAGCAACUCCAAGGGAUAGAAGACCCUAGGAAGGCUGAUCAAAGUUUGCUGGAUUUUGGAUUAGGCAGGCUGGGUGUGAACGCUGCUGUCCAUAGAAUCACAUCAGGCUAGUCAGUCAAAAUUGUGUCCUGACAGUCAAAGCCAAACCCUCUGGGAAAUACAGGAUAACUAAGUCCAUGUGAGAUGUCCAACCACUCUGUUUCAACAGCCUUAGGUGGCAGUUAGAGAUGUAAAUUAC
rnacentral:lncRNA from 1 species